GACGAACGCUGGCGGCGUGCUUAACACAUGCAAGUCGAGCGGUAAGGCCCUUUCGGGGGUACGACGAGCGGCGAACGGGUGAGUAACACGUGGGUGACCUGCCCUCAGCUCUGGGAUAAGCCUGGGAAACCGGGUACUAAUACUGGAUAUGACUCCAUGACGCAUGUUGUAGGGUGGAAAGCCUUGUGCGGCUGAGGAUGGGCCCGCGGCCUAUCAGCUUGUUGGUGGGGUGAGGCCUACUAAGGCGACGACGGGUAGCCGGCCUGAGAGGGCGACCGGCCACACUGGGACUGAGACACGGCCCA
rnacentral:rRNA from 1 species